CAGUAGCCACGGUAAUACGGAGGGUGCAAGCGUUAAUCGGAAUUACUGGGCGUAAAGCGCACGCAGGCGGUUUGUUAAGUCAGAUGUGAAAUCCCCGAGCUUAACUUGGGAACUGCAUUUGAAACUGGCUAGCUAGAGUCUUGUAGAGGGGGGUAGAAUUCCAGGUGUAGCGGUGAAAUGCGUAGAGAUCUGGAGGAGUACCGGUGGCGAAGGCGGCCCCCUGGACAAAGACUGACGCUCAGGUGCGAAAGCGUGGGGAGCAAACAGGAUUAGAUACCCCUGUAGUCCCUGUCUCUUAUAC
rnacentral:rRNA from 1 species